AUAGUACUCCCUCCGUUCCAUAAUUCUUGUCUCAAAUUUGUCAAAAUAUGAAUGUAUCUAUUCCUAUAAAGCGUCUACAUACAUGUAUAUUCCGACAAGAAUUAUGGAACGGAGGUAGUAGUCU
rfam:Brachypodium distachyon strain Bd21 chromosome 1, whole genome shotgun sequence.